rnacentral:rRNA from 1 species
GAGCUCGUAGGCGGUUUGUCGCGUCUGCCGUGAAAGUCCGGGGCUCAACUCCGGAUCUGCGGUGGGUACGGGCAGACUAGAGUGAUGUAGGGGAGACUGGAAUUCCUGGUGUAGCGGUGAAAUGCGCAGAUAUCAGGAGGAACACCGAUGGCGAAGGCAGGUCUCUGGGCAUUAACUGACGCUGAGGAGCGAAAGCAUGGGGAGCGAACAGGAUUAGAUACCCUGGUAGUCCAUGCCGUAAACGUUGGGCACUAGGUGUGGGGGACAUUCCACGUUUUCCGCGCCGUAGCUAACGCAUUAAGUGCCCCGCCUGGGGAGUACGGCCGCAAGGCUAAAACUCAAAGGAAUUGACGGGGGCCCGCACAAGCGGCGGAGCAUGCGGAUUAAUUCGAUGCAACGCGAAGAACCUUACCAAGGCUUGACAUGGGCCGGACCGGGCUGGAAACAGUCCUUCCCCUUUGGGGCCGGUUCACAGGUGGUGCAUGGUUGUCGUCAGCUCGUGUCGUGAGAUGUUGGGUUAAGUCCCGCAACGAGCGCAACCCUCGUUCCAUGUUGCCAGCGCGUAAUGGCGGGGACUCAUGGGAGACUGCCGGGGUCAACUCGGAGGAAGGUGGGGACGACGUCAAAUCAUCAUGCCCCUUAUGUCUUGGGCUUCACGCAUGCUACAAUGGCCGGUACAAAGGGUUGCGAUACUGUGAGGUGGAGCUAAUCCCAAAAAGCCGGUCUCAGUUCGGAUUGGGGUCUGCAACUCGACCCCAUGAA